rnacentral:rRNA from 1 species
CUUAGAACGAACGCUGGCGGCGUGCUUAACACAUGCAAGUCGAACGCGAAAGGGACUUCGGUCCUGAGUAAAGUGGCGCACGGGUGAGUAACGCGUAGAUAACCUGUCUUCAUGUCUGGAAUAAUACGCCGAAAGGGGUACUAAUACCGGAUAUUCUUGCUUUUCAUAAGUUAUGCAAGCAAAGGUGGCCUCUGCAUAUGCUACUGCAUGAAGAGGGGUCUGCGUACCAUUAGCUAGUAGGUGGGGUAAUGGCCUACCUAGGCGACGAUGGUUAGCGGGUCUGAGAGGAUGAUCCGCCACACUGGCACUGGAACACGGGCCAGACUCCUACGGGAGGCAGCAGUGAGGAAUAUUGCGCAAUGGGGGAAACCCUGACGCAGCGACGCCGCGUGAGUGAGGAAAAGGCCUUCGGGUCGUAAAGCUCUGUCAAGAGGAAAGAAGUGUACAAUGGCUAAUACCUGUUGUAUUUGACGGUACCUCUAAAGGAAGCACCGGCUAACUCCGUGCCAGCAGCUGC